UACGAAGGGGACUAGCGUUGUUCGGAAUCACUGGGCGUAAAGCGCACGUAGGCGGAUAUGUCAGUCAGGGGUGAAAUCCCGGGGCUCAACCUCGGAACUGCCUUUGAUACAGCAUAUCUUGAGUCCGAUAGAGGUGGGUGGAAUUCCUAGUGUAGAGGUGGAAUUCGUAGAUAUUAGGAAGAACACCAGUGGCGAAGGCGACUCACUGGUCCGGUACUGACGCUGAGGUGCGAAAGCGUGGGGAGCAAACAGG
rnacentral:rRNA from 1 species